rnacentral:rRNA from 1 species
UACGUAGGGGGCAAGCGUUGUCCGGAUUUAUUGGGCGUAAAGAGCGUGUAGGCGGCCAGACAGGUCCGUUGUGAAAACUCGAGGCUCAACCUCGAGAUGUCGAUGGAAACCGUCUGGCUAGAGUCCGGAAGAGGAGUGUGGAAUUCCUGGUGUAGCGGUGAAAUGCGCAGAUAUCAGGAAGAACACCUAUGGCGAAGGCAGCACUCUGGGACGGUACUGACGCUGAGGGACGAAAGCUAGGGGAGCGAAUGGG